CCUACGUGGGGCAGCAGUGAGGAAUAUUGGUCAAUGGGCGCGAGCCUGAACCAGCCAAGUAGCGUGAAGGAUGACUGCCCUACGGGUUGUAAACUUCUUUUAUAAAGGAAUAAAGUGAGGCACGUGUGCCUUUUUGUAUGUACUUUAUGAAUAAGGAUCGGCUAACUCCGUGCCAGCAGCCGCGGUAAUACGGAGGAUCCGAGCGUUAUCCGGAUUUAUUGGGUUUAAAGGGAGCGUAGAUGGGUUGUUAAGUCAGUUGUGAAAGUUUGCGGCUCAACCUUAAAAUUGCAAUUGAUAAUGGCAGUCUUGAGUACAGUUGAGGUAGGCGGAAUUCGUGGUGUAGCGGUGAAAUGCUUAGAUAUCACGAAGAACUCCGAUUGCGAAGGCAGCUUACUAAACUGCCACUGACAUUGAUGCUCGAAAGUGUGGGUAUCAAACAGGAUUAGAUACCCCAGUAGUC
rnacentral:rRNA from 1 species